GCGCACAACGGACCAGUCACCUCACUUGUUCCAAAUUAUAUCAUGUGUUAUUAAAUUCUACUCCUUUUCUUUGCCCCAAGACAGGUGUAUUAACAACAAAAGAACACGAAGUCCCACACACUUGGGUACAACUCGAGUAUUUCUCGCCUUAAACUGUACAAUACACAAGAACUAUUAAGAAGCUUUGAAUAUGACACCAGUAUAAAAUACAAACAUAUGACAAUUCACAGCAAUGUUAUUAUCGCCUCAAGAAAGACUCGCGGUGCGCUUUCCUAAUAAAAUUAUAUCCACCUUGACCAGCGCCGUGUAACAGCUUUGCGGAAAAUCCCUUGUCGGUUUAGAGCAUCAAUUGGUGACAGCGAAUAUUAAGUGGAGCGUUCACAAUUUAUUCCUGAAGAAUUUAAGUUUUUUUCAACAAGUAGCGCAGUUGUGAAAUCCAGCUAGCUUUCUUCAAGUCUUCAAAUAUGAUGUGGUUUCAAUUUACAGCCAACUUUUUUUUCUUCAGUGUAUUUCCGAGUCUUCAAUUUCAACUUUAAGUGUCUCAGGAAG